CAGUCGCCGCGGUAAUACGUAGGGUGCAAGCGUUAAUCGGAAUUACUGGGCGUAAAGCGUGCGCAGGCGGUUUUGUAAGACAGAGGUGAAAUCCCCGGGCUCAACCUGGGAACUGCCUUUGUGACUGCAAGGCUAGAGUACGGCAGAGGGGGAUGGAAUUCCGCGUGUAGCAGUGAAAUGCGUAGAUAUGCGGAGGAACACCGAUGGCGAAGGCAAUCCCCUGGGCCUGUACUGACGCUCAUGCACGAAAGCGUGGGGAGCAAACAGGAUUAGAGACCCCUGUAGUCCCUGUCUCUUAUAC
rnacentral:rRNA from 1 species